GCUCCACAGCCAGACACAGAGUAUUAUGAUUACGGUCACGGAGAGGCACAAGAAACUUACGAGUCUUACACUGAAGAUGACUGGGAUGGUGGUGCUUGGGGCGGCACCGGUGGAAAGGCUCCGACUGCCCGACCGGGCAAAUCGUAUCGGGAGCAUCCAUAUGGCAGAUACUGAGAGCAGUCCGUCACGACGGUUGCCUGGCAACUUCCUCCCCUCGUAACCUCUUGUAACCACCUAAAUGACUGAUGCUGAGAGGUUCUUUCCAGACUGGCUUUACCAGGCAGCUGCUACAGGCUUUUGGUGUCAUUUAGUACUGAAGAGGAAAAUGACAGCGCCCUUUUAUACAAUCUCUUGUGUGUGAGGAAUGUUUAGUGAAGAUUUUUAGUCUUUUUUUUUUUUCUUUUUUUUUAUUUUUUUUAAAUGUAU